UACGGAGGGUGCAAGCGUUAUCCGGAUUCACUGGGUUUAAAGGGUGCGUAGGCGGGUAGGUAAGUCAGUGGUGAAAUCUUCGAGCUUAACUCGGAAACUGCCUUUGAUACUAUCUAUCUUGAAUAUUGUGGAGGUAAGCGGAAUAUGUCAUGUAGCGGUGAAAUGCUUAGAUAUGACAUAGAACACCGAUAGCGGAGGCAGCUUGCUACACAGUCAUUGACACUGAGGCACGAAAGCGUGGGGAUCAAACAGG
rnacentral:rRNA from 1 species